GGAUAGCUCAGUUUGCAAAGCAUGAGACUCUUAAUCUCAAGGUCGUGAGUUUGAGCCCCACGUUGGGCA
rnacentral:tRNA from 1 species